GGAUGGCUUAGAAGCAGCCAUCCUUUAAAGAAAGCGUAAUAGCUCACUAGUCGAGUCGGCCUGCGCGGAAGAUAUACCGGGGCUAAAAUGAGUAACCGAAGCUAUGGGUGCGCACCUUUGGGUGUGUGCGGUAGAGGAGCGUUCUGUAAGCGGUUGAAGCUGAGUCGUAAGGCUUGGUGGACGUAUCAGAAGUGCGAAUGCUGACAUGAGUAACGACA
rnacentral:rRNA from 1 species